CCUACGGGAGGCAGCAGUGGGGAAUAUUGCACAAUGGGCGAAAGCCUGAUGCAGCAACGCCGCGUGAAGGAAGAAGGGUUUCGGCUCGUAAACUUCUAUCAACAGGGACGAAAGAAUUGACGGUACCUCAAGAAGAAGCCCCGGCUAACUACGCGCCAGCACCCGCGGUAACACGUAGGGGGCAAGCGUUCUCCGGAUUUAGUGGGUGCAAAGGGGGUGUAGGGGGGAUGGGAAGACAGAUGUGAACCCUCGGGGCUUAACCGGAGGACUGCAUUUGAAACUAUCUAUCUUGAGUACAGGAGAGGAAAGCGGAAUUCCUAGUGUAGCGGUGAAAUGCGUAGAUAUUAGGAGGAACACCAGUGGCGAAGGCGACUUUCUGGACCGUAACUGACGCUGAGGCGCGAAAGCGUGGGGAGCAAACAGGAUUAGAUACCCCUGUAGUC
rnacentral:rRNA from 1 species